GUGGUCAGCCUGGGGACAGUGAGACUGAGAUGCACAUUCACGAGACUUCUCCAUUUUUUUCUUUCAGUCUUUGAAUGAAUACAACGUUGCCCGGUUGGAAUAUUAUCGCUAUUUUACAAGAAAAAUAGCAUAAAAAUAGAUUUUAAACAGCGUUGGACAUGCUUCUAAAUACAGUAAUGGAAUAUUUUGACAUUUUUUGUCACGAAAUGCGCUCGCGCGUUACCCUUCGGAUACUGACCUGAACGCACGAACAAAACGGAGGUAUUUGGAUAUAACUAUGGAUUAUUUGGAACCAAAACAACAUUUGUUGUUGAAGUAGAAGUCCUGGGAGUGCAUUCUGAUGAAGAACAGCAAAGGACAUCACAACUGCGCAGGGUGAGAGAGACGUUUGCACAAGGCAUCGUCUCCUUGUUCCCAUACCUGAAGGAUUCCUACACCGCAAAUGGAUAUGAAGAAGAUGACCCACGACCCGAGUAAAUGCUCCACCAUCCUAACUGAAUUUCCACGCUUUCUUGAUGUGAAGGGCUGGAUUGAACAGGAUUUUGUGCUGCGAGAGGGAGAGGGAACAUCAGCCAAGGUUUUGGAGAGGUGGCCAACUACAUUCAAGCAAAAGAUCAUCAUGCUAAGCAAGACCCUAAGCAAGACUACUCAGGGAGCUGAACUUCAGGAGCUGAUCCAGAUGGCAGAAUCUGCAGUUGAUGAGGGAGCUGACAUGAAUGCUGAUGGAUCUCUUUGUUUAGGAUGGGACGGUGACAUUUCCUCCAUCCUUCUCCUGCUCCAUUUGACUCCUCCUUCAUCACAAGGCCGCAAAAGACCAGGAAAGAUGUCUGCAUCCCAAGCUGAACAUCAUCUUGUGAUAUUCCAAAAGGCAGGAACCAGUAUCCAGGAGCUCCUUGAUGUGAUUGACCAGAGCCGCCAACCAUAUCUUCUUGCAGUCGGGACCAGGAAGAACGGCAUCCAUGCUUACUUCAUCAUCCUGGACAAGCGAGCCUUGCAAGUCAACGAGCGCUCUUGGUGCCUUCGGUGAGCUUUUCAAGACUCACUUUGGUUUUUGCUACUGCUUACAAUACACUGCUGCGCAACAUGUACACCUUCAUACAGACAACUGUGUACAACAUAGACCUUGGGAAGGUUUAACUCACUUGCCUAGUUAAAUAAAGGUUACACUAAGAGCAUAACAUUUCUACACCCUGAUUGUAUAAGUGUAGUCUAACCAAUACCCAAAUGGACAUUGAGUGAAAAUAAAAUCUCACUGAUUUAUCAAGACCAGUCCCCAUGCUAGUCUCAGAGCAGCACAAAACGGUGCUUAAAUAGUUGUAGGCUAUUGCUUCAAAUCCUAUUGCUUCUAUUUUCAAUAUGCUCUUUAAAUAAAUAAGACCUAUUCCACUUUUAACAGCACAUUACAGGCCUACAGUACAUCGAAAAAUAUGACAUGACUCUCUGCCAAUAAUUACAUAUAGAGGAUUGGAGGAUCCUAAAUUAAAACGAUUUUGCAAAGCAUUUUGCACUGCGGGAGCACCCAUCCACUCCGGAGCCCCCAUCCACAAAGUAUCAAAAUACAGAGAGUUGUUCAUAAAGGUAUAUUGUCCUGCUAAUAGCCCAUAAUGGGCUAUUAUAAUACUGUAUAUGGCGUCCAGGUCAGGAUAACCAAAAUAUGUAUUUAUUAAAGACUAUCAGAAAGAAUGUUAGUACUUAAUUAUUUUGAUCCAAAGCCAUGAAUGAGUGAGUCACUCAGCUUUAUGUAGGUGCCGCUAUAUGACUGUGCCAUCAACUUGAUAAUAUAUAACGAUAUUUUGGAGGUUAUUUCGUUUUCAAAAAAACAAAAGUGAGUGAUUGUAAUCUGAAUAAUGGGCAAAAUAAUAUUUGUAAGGGCCAAAACAUUUAUUUCUGUUUUUAGAGAGAGAGAGAAACACUGGGCCAAUUGUGCGCUGCCCUUUGGGAUUCCCAAUCACGGUCGGAUGUGAUACAUAAUAAUAAUAAUACUUUUUGUUGUAUUAUUUGUUUUGUCUUUUCUGGUGGAUUAAACUGAAAUUGCAACCAAUCACGGCCGGUUUUGAUAUAGCCAACCUAACAAAUAAAUACAUUUGACAAUAGAAUUCUCCCCCUACCCUCCAUCUAGGCAAGUCUACUGUCCAGCUACCUGCUAAUAGCCAUAAUGGUGCUGUACAAUGUGAUCGUGUUUGUUGGAAAGAAUAUUUUCCAGUAAGCAACAAUUUGUUUACCUUCAUUAGACAACUUUGUUCCAAUAUUUCUCUAAUUCAGUGAUAUUUAUUUGCAUAGUAAUUCGUUAUGGAUCCAUAACUAAAUAAACAUCAGCAUUUUGAAAGAGUAUUUUUAUCAUUAUUUUAUUAACGAAAGCAUAAAGAUGCCAUUAUUAGUUACAUUGUUUUAGUUUGAACGUGCAGACUAGCACUAAGAACAGAGGGAACGUUUCCCUAGUCAGUGCCAUUAUUAGUGCAAUGCCCCUUAAAGUGUUGCUCUGUGCUACCCAGUGUGGCAGGGUGGGGGUCCACCGUGGAACCAACUCGCCUUCCGAACGUUCUAUUCCCAGCUUAUUGUUCAACGUCACAAUGCCUGCUUCGCAAUUGUUGGCAAUGAGACCUGCUCACGUUGUUUUAUAGUUAAAAUGUCAACAAUAAAAUGUAAACAACAAAAAUAAUAUUGGAACUCUGCGGUCUUCCCAUUGUUUCCUAUGGGGGAAAUAUAGGAUUGUGUGUCUAUUUCGCCAAAUAUGUCGCAAUGUGUAUAUAAAAAAAAAAUUCAAGUCAGGUGUAACCGGUGUGAAAUGGCUAGCUAGUUAGUGGGGUGCGCGCUAAUAGCAUUUUAAUCGGUGACAUCACUCGCUCUGAGACCUGGAAGUAGUUGUUCCCCUUGCUCUGCAAGGGUGGGGGUUUUUGUGGAGCAAUGGGUAAUGAUGCUUCGAGGGUGGCUGUUGUCUAUGUGUGCAGAGGGUCGCUGGUUCAAGCCCAGGUAGGGGCGAGGGGAGGGACAGAAGCAAAACUGUUACACAGGCACCAUUUUAAUCAGGAGAAUCUCCUCUUUGUAAUUAUGUAAGUCUGGGCAGCGAGCUCGUUUGUUAUCGAUUACUAGACUAGAAAUAGUCAUAAGUUUUUAUUUUCUCCUUACUUUUUCAUUAGGGUCAGUCUGUUACAUCUGUUACAUCUGGAGUAUUUCUCUUGUCUUAUCCGGUGUCCUGUGUGUAUUUAAAUAUGCUC
rnacentral:lncRNA from 1 species